AGCAGCCGCGGUAAUUCCAGCUCCAAUAGCGUAUAUUAAAGUUGUUGCAGUUAAAAAGCUCGUAGUUGAAUUUCGGGAUCAAUAUGUUGGUCGUGCCUCGGUACGUACUAGCUUAUUGGUUUCUCCUUUCUGAAGAACCAUGAUGUCAUUUAUUUGGUGUCGUGGGGAAUCAGGACUGUUACUUUGAAAAAAUUAGAGUGUUUAAAGCAGGCUCACGCUUGAAUACAUUAGCAUGGAAUAAUGAAAUAGGACGUUUGAUUCUAUUUUGUUGGUUUCUAGGAUCGACGUAAUGAUUAAUAGGGAUAGUUGGGGGCAUUAGUAUUCAAUUGUCAGAGGUGAAAUUCUUGGAUUUAUUGAAGACUAACUACUGCGAAAGCAUUUGCCAAGGAUGUUUUCAUUAAUCAAGAACGAAAGUUAGGGGAUCGAAGACGAUCAGAUACCGUCGUAGUCUUAACCAUAAACUAUGCCGACUAGGGAUCGGAUGAUGUUAAUUUUUAAUGACU
rnacentral:rRNA from 1 species